rnacentral:rRNA from 1 species
GCCCGUACCGUAAACCGACACAGGUGGGUGGGAUGAGUAUUCUAAGGCGCGUGGAAGAACUCUCUUCAAGGAACUCUGCAAAAUAGCACCGUAUCUUCGGUAUAAGGUGUGCCUAACUUUGUGAAGGAUUUACUCCGUAAGCAUUGAAGGUUACAACAAAGAGUCCCUCCCGACUGUUUACCAAAAACACAGCACUCUGCUAACUCGUAAGAGGAUGUAUAGGGUGUGACGCCUGCCCGGUGCUCGAAGGUUAAUUGAUGACGUUAGCUCUGCGAAGCGUUUGAUCGAAGCCCGAGUAAACGGCGGCCGUAACUAUAACGGUCCUAAGGUAGCGAAAUUCCUUGUCGAUUAAAUAUCGACCUGCAUGAAUGGCGUAACGAGAUGGGAGCUGUCUCGAAGAGGGAUCCAGUGAAAUUGUAGUGGAGGUGAAAAUUCCUCCUACCCGCGGCAAGACGGAAAGACCCCGUGGACCUUUACUACAGCUUGACACUGCUAUUGGGAUAAAAAUGUGCAGGAUAGGUGGGAGGCUUUGAUCCAUAGACGCCAGUUUAUGGUGAGCCGUUGUUGAGAUACCACUCUUUUUUAUUCUGAUAGCUAACUAGCUUGAGUUAUCCUCAAGUAGGACAAUGUCUGGUGGGUAGUUUGACUGGGGCGGUCGCCUCCCAAAAUGUAACGGAGGCUUACAAAGGUUGGCUCAGAACGGUUGGAAAUCGUUCGUAGAGUAUAAAGGCAUAAGCCAGCUUAACUGCGAGACAUACACGUCAAGCAGAGACGAAAGUCGGUCUUAGUGAUCCGGUGGUUCUGUGUGGAAGGGCCAUCGCUCAAAGGAUAAAAGGUACCCCGGGGAUAACAGGCUGAUCUCCCCCAAGAGCUCACAUCGACGGGGAGGUUUGGCACCUCGAUGUCGGCUCAUCGCAUCCUGGGGCUGGAGCAGGUCCCAAGGGUAUGGCUGUUCGCCAUUUAAAGCGGUACGCGAGCUGGGUUCAGAACGUCGUGAGACAGUUCGGUCCCUAUCUGCCGUGGGCGCAAGAAGAUUGAGGAGAGUUGACCCUAGUACGAGAGGACCGGGUUGAACCGACCACUGGUGUACCAGUUAUCCUGCCAAGGGUAGCGCUGGGUAGCUAUGUCGGGAUGUGAUAACCGCUGAAAGCAUCUAAGCAGGAAGCCAACUCCAAGAUGAAUCUUCUUUUAAGAGCUCAUAUAGACUAUGUGUUUGAUAGGCUGGGUGUGUAAUGGAUGAAAGUCCUUUAGCUGACCAGUACUAAUAGCUCGUCUGCUUAUCUUU